rnacentral:RNase_P_RNA from 1 species
UCAGUCGGACAGAUGAUCGCGGCUGCAGAAAUGCAGGUGAGGAAAGUCCGGGCUUCACAGGGCAGGAUGCCGGAUAACGUCCGGUGGAGGUGACUCCAAGGAAAGUGCAACAGAAAUAAACAGCCGGGGCGGCUUGCCGCCCGGGUAAUGGUGGAAAGGCAGUGUAAGAGACUACCGCCGGCAUGGUAACAUGACGGGCUCUGCAAACCCCAUCCGAAGCAAGACCAAACUCCGAAAGGUGGACAGCCAUAGAUCUGCCCGAUCUGCUGUCAGGUAGGUCGCUUGAGGUCGAUGGUAACAUCGAUCCUAGACAGAUGAUCAUCAGAUACAUAACCCGGCUUACAGUCCGGCUGAUACU